UUUAUAGUGAUUCUGCAAAUUUAUUCUGAACCAUAGAGUCAAUAAGUGUUAUUAAUUUCAUUCUUUAUUCUUAUGCUUGAUCUAUAACUACUUAAAUGCAUUUGAAGAUAACAAUCAAAAACAGGUUUUGGAGGUCUGAAAUUUUGAGUAUUAAAGGAAUGCUCUUCAAUGUCUGGAUGCUGAGUACUCCAAUAUUAAAUAAAGAUUGGCACAAGUUAUAUUUUUCAUGAGUUAAAAUAUUCAAUUAUAAAAUAACAGGAUACAAAUUGUGUAACCAAUAAUCUCCAAAGUGAGCAAUAUACAGCAAGUAUGAGUCUUUGUUUUUCUUCCCUAAUAUAACUUGCAAACAACAAACUAUUAGAUAAACCACCUUAGGGAAACCAUGUGCUUAAAUAAAAUGGUAUAAAAUAUUCAACAGCAGAAUCGCUGGAGUUUUUGUUGUAUUAUUUUGCUUUACUUUGAAGGGAGAGUAACUGAACCUAGGACUUGCCUAUGCUACACAAGUGCUCUGACACUGAGCUAUGUUCCCAGCCCCCGAUAAUUUAAUCGAACCAUUUUUUAAGAUUUUUCCAAUUCAAAGAUACAUGCUUUGUCAGAAUAUGAGACUUCUUCUCCUAGUCUACAAUGAAAACCAUUAAUCAGAAUCAUCUGGAGAAUCAUUUUAU
rnacentral:lncRNA from 1 species